rnacentral:rRNA from 1 species
CCCUUAGAUGUCCUGGGCCGCACGCGCGCUACACUGAUGCAUUCAACGAGUCUACCUUGGCCGAGAGGCCUGGGCAACCUUUUAAACGUGCAUCGUGAUAGGGAUAGAUUAUUGCAAUUAUUAAUCUUGAACGAGGAAUUCCUAGUAAACGCAAAUCAUCAAUUUGCAUUGAUUACGUCCCUGCACUUUGUACACACCGCCCGUCGCACCUACCGAUUGAAUGGUCCGGUGAGGACUCGGGAUUUUUACCAGUUUCCCUCAUUGGGAAUUGGUGAGGAGAACUUGUCCAAACCUUAUCAUUUAGGGGAAGGUGAAGUCGUAACA